UUUCCUACGGGGGGCAGCAGUGGGGAAUAUUGCACAAUGGGGGGAACCCUGAUGCAGCGACGCCGCGUGGGUGAAGGAGCACCUCGGUGCGUAAAGCCCUAUCGGCAGGGAAGAAAAGCGAACAGGUUCGCCUGGACGGUACCUGACUAAGAAGCCCCGGCUAACUACGUGCCAGCAGCCGCGGUAAUACGUAGGGGGCAAGCGUUAUCCGGAUUCAUUGGGUUUAAAGGGUUCGUAGGUUGUUUUAUAAGUUAGCGGUGAAAUACCGAUGCUCAACAUCGG
rnacentral:rRNA from 1 species